CAGCCGCCGCGGUAAAACGGAGGGGGCUAGCGUUGUUCGGAAUUACUGGGCGUAAAGCGCACGUAGGCGGCUUGGUAAGUUAGAGGUGAAAGCCCGGAGCUCAACUCCGGAAUUGCCUUUAAGACUGCCGAGCUAGUAGGUGAGAGAGGUAAGUGGAAUUCCGAGUGUAGAGGUGAAAUUCGUAGAUAUUCGGAAGAACACCAGCGGCGAAGGCGGCUUACUGGCUCAUUCUAGACGCUGAGGUGCGAAAGCGUGGGGAGCAAACAGGAUUAGAUACCCCGGUAGUCCCUGUCUCUUAUAC
rnacentral:rRNA from 1 species